rnacentral:rRNA from 1 species
GACAGAGGGGGCAAGCGUUGCUCGGAAUUACUGGGCGUAAAGGGCGCGUAGGCGGGAUGGCAAGUUGGUCGUGAAAUCCCUCGGCUCAACCGAGGAACGUCGAUCGAUACUGCUGUUCUUGAGGAUUGCAGAGGAGACUGGAAUUCCCGGUGUAGCGGUGAAAUGUGUAGAGAUCGGGAGGAACACCGGUGGCGAAGGCGGGUCUCUGGGCAAUUCCUGACGCUGAGGCGCGAAAGCGUGGGGAGCAAACGGG